AUUGAACGCUGGCGGCAGGCCUAACACAUGCAAGUCGGACGAGUGGCGGACGGGUGAGUAAUGUAUGGGAAUCUGCCUGAUGGAGGGGGAUAACUACUGGAAACGGUAGCUAAUACCGCAUACACUCGGAUGUGCCCAUAUGGGAUUAGCUCGUAGGUGGGGUAAAGGCGAACCAAGGCGACGAUCCCUAGCUGGUCUGAGAGGAUGACCAGCCAAACGGGAACUGAGACACGGCCCAGACUCCUACGGGAGGCAGCAGUGGGGAAUAUUGGACAAUGGGCGCAAGCCUGAUGCAGCCAUGCCGCGUGUAGGAAGAAGGCCUUCGGGUUGUAAAGUACUUUCAGCGGGGAGGCGUUACCCGCAGAAGAAGCACCGGCUAACUCCGUGCCAGCAGCCGCGGUAAUUC
rnacentral:rRNA from 1 species